rnacentral:rRNA from 1 species
UGGGGAAUUUUGGACAAUGGGCGAAAGCCUGAUCCAGCAAUGCCGCGUGUGUGAAGAAGGCCUUCGGGUUGUAAAGCACUUUUGUCCGGAAAGAAAUCCUUGGCUCUAAUACAGUCGGGGGAUGACGGUACCGGAAGAAUAAGCACCGGCUAACUACGUGCCAGCAGCCGCGGUAAUACGUAGGGUGCAAGCGUUAAUCGGAAUUACUGGGCGUAAAGCGUGCGCAGGCGGUUUGCUAAGACCGAUGUGAAAUCCCCGGGCUCAACCUGGGAACUGCAUUGGUGACUGGCAGGCUGGAGUAUGGCAGAGGGGGGUAGAAUUCCACGUGUAGCAGUGAAAUGCGUAGAGAUGUGGAGGAAUACCGAUGGCGAAGGCAGCCCCCUGGGCCAAUACUGACGCUCAUGCACGAAAGGCGUGGGGGAGCAAACAGGAUUAGAUACCCUGGUAGUCCACGCCCUAAACGACGUCAACUAGUUGUGGGGAUUCAUUUUCCUUAGUAACGUAGCUAACGCGUGAAGUUGACCGCCUGGGGAGUACGGUCGC